rnacentral:rRNA from 1 species
UAAUACGUAGGAUGCAAGCGUUGCUCGGAAUUACUGGGUGUAAAGAGCGUGUAGGUGGCCAGAUAAGUCAGUGGUGAAAGCCCUCGGCUCAACCGGGGAACUGCCAUUGAUACUGUCUGGCUUGAGUACGGGAGAGGAAAGCGGAAUUCCUGGUGUAGCGGUGAAAUGCGUAGAUAUCAGGAGGAACACCGGUGGCGAAGGCGGCUUUCUGGACCGAUACUGACACUGAGACGCGAAUGCGUGGGGAGCAAACAGGAUUAGAUACCCUGGUAGUCCACGCCCUAAACGAUGGGCACUAGGUGUGGGAACUUUUAGAGUUUCCGUGCCGAAGCUAGCGCAUUAAGUGCCCCGCCUGGGAAGUACGAUCGCAAGGUUG